rnacentral:rRNA from 1 species
UGGGUAACCUGCCUUCAGCUUUGGGAUAACCCUCGGAAACGGGGGCUAAUACCGGGUAUUCACUUUCUGCGGCAUCGUGGGGGGUGGAAAGCUUUUGCGGCUGGGGAUGGGCUCGCGGCCUAUCAGCUUGUUGGUGGGGUAAUGGCCUACCAAGGCGGCGACGGGUAGCCGGCCUGAGAGGGCGACCGGCCACACUGGGACUGAGACACGGCCCAGACUCCGUACGGGAGGCA